UGCAAGUCGAACGCUGAAGCACCAGCUUGCUGGUGUGGAUGAGUGGCGAACGGGUGAGUAAUACGUGAGUAACCUGCCCUUGACUCUGGGAUAAGCCCGGGAAACUGGGUCUAAUACUGGAUGCUACAUGUCACCGCAUGGUGGUGUGUGGAAAGGGUUUACUGGUCUUGGAUGGGCUCACGGCCUAUCAGCUUGUUGGUGAGGUAAUGGCUCACCAAGGCGACGACGGGUAGCCGGCCUGAGAGGGUGACCGGCCACACUGGGACUGAGACACGGCCCAGACUCCUACGGGAGGCAGCAGUGGGGAAUAUUGCACAAUGGGCGAAAGCCUGAUGCAGCGACGCCGCGUGAGGGAUGACGGCCUUCGGGUUGUAAACCUCUUUCAGCAGGGAAGAAGCCACAAGUGACGGUACCUGCAGAAGAAGCGCCGGCUAACUACGUGCCAGCAGCCGCGGUAAUACGUAGGGCGCAAGCGUUGUCCGGAAUUAUUGGGCGUAAAGAGCUCGUAGGCGGUUUGUCGCGUCUGCUGUGAAAGCCCGGGGCUUAACCCCGGGUGUGCAGUGGGUACGGGCAGACUAGAGUGCAGUAGGGGAGACUGGAAUUCCUGGUGUAGCGGUGGAAUGCGCAGAUAUCAGGAGGAACACCGAUGGCGAAGGCAGGUCUCUGGGCUGUUACUGACGCUGAGGAGCGAAAGCAUGGGGAGCGAACAGGAUUAGAUACCCUGGUAGUCCAUGCCGUAAACGUUGGGCACUAGGUGUGGGGGACAUUCCACGUUUUCCGCGCCGUAGCUAACGCAUUAA
rnacentral:rRNA from 1 species